rnacentral:rRNA from 1 species
CAUUACCAAAACUUAGCUGUCUGGCCGCGAGGUCGUGACGCUUCAACCCUCUGUGAACCAAAAAAACAUUUCGCUUCGGCAGCCGCCCGGUCGUUAACCCGACCGCCGCUUCAGCCUGCCGGCGGCACCAAACAAAACUUGCUUUGAAAAACAUGUCUGACAACCAAAUUUUCGAAUGAAAAUUAAAACUUUCAACAACGGAUCUCUUGGUUCCCGCAUCGAUGAAGAACGCAGCGAAACGCGAUAGUUAAUGUGAAUUGCAGAAUUCAGUGAAUCAUCGAAUCUUUGAACGCACAUUGCGCCCAUCGGUAUUCCGUUGGGCAUGUCUGUUUGAGCGUCAUUACAACCCUCGACACCAGUCGGUUAUGAGCCCGGAACGGCGUCAAAACCCGCCCCGGCUUUAAAGUUGUAAGCUCUGCUGGCCGAUCCGCCUGACCGAAAACAUAGUAAACCUACUUGUUGGAGGGAGCGCGACCGGUACGGCCUGAACAAAACCUACCCAUCUCAAGGUUUGACCUCAGAUCAGAUAA